rnacentral:rRNA from 1 species
UAUCUCUGUAGAGUCUGCAUAUCAAUAAGCGGAGGAAAAGAAACUAACAAGGAUUCCCCUAGUAACGGCGAGUGAAGCGGGAAGAGCUCAAAUUUGAAAUCUUCAAGGUUUGACCUUGACGAAUUGUAGUUUAAAGAAGUGUUUUCGGUUAGAGGAGUAGUAAAAGUUCUUUGGAAUAGGACAUCAUAGAGGGUGAGAAUCCCGUAUUUGACUAUUCUUUCUAGCUUUGUGAUACACUUUCAAAGAGUCGGAUUGUUUGGGAAUGCAGUCCAAAAUGGGUGGUAAAUUUCAUCUAAAGCUAAAUAUUGGCGAGAGACCGAUAGCGAACAAGUACCGUGAGGGAAAGAUGAAAAGAACUUUGAAAAGAGAGUUAAACAGUACGUGAAAUUGUCAAAAGGGAAGCGUUUGACACCAGUGUUGUUCUUCCGAAAAUCAAUUACGAAUGGUUUGAUUUUGAGUAGUUAUGACCUUCAUCAGCUUUCUCACUUUCUUUACGAAGUCUUUCUUAAUGCACUUUCUCGGUUAACAAGUCAACAUCAAUUUCUUUUGUUGUAAAAGAGUAUCGAGGAAGGUGGCUUUCUUUUCGGAGAAAGUGUUUAUAGCCCUUAUGCCUCUACAAUCGGAGAGAUUGAGGUCUGCAGGCGUAGAUCCUUCGGGGUUAGAUACAUUUGUGCUAAGUUGUAGCUUUUCAUAGACAACUUGUUGACUAUGUUUAGUCAUUGUAGGCUUACUCGCUUAGUGCUACUUUACCUACGCUUAGGAUGUUGAGCGCAUGUCUCUCUCU